UGGGGAAUAUUGGACAAUGGGGGGAACCCUGAUCCAGCGAUGCCGCGUGUGUGAAGAAGGCCUGCGGGUUGUAAAGCACUUUGGUUGGGGAAGAAGGUUGAUAGUUGAAAAGGCUAUUGAAUUGACGUUACCCAAAGAACAAGCACCGGCUAACUCUGUGCCAGCAGCCGCGGUAAUACAGAGGGUGCGAGCGUUAAUCGGAAUUACUGGGCGUAAAGGGCGCGUAGGCGGCUAUAUAAGUUAGGUGUGAAAUACCUGGGCUUAACCUGGGUACUGCAUUUAAGACUGUAUGGCUAGAGUAGUGUAGAGGAGAGUGGAAUUUCCGGUGUAGCGGUGAAAUGCGUAGAUAUCGGAAAGAACAUCAGUGGCGAAGGCGACUCUCUGGACACAUACUGACGCU
rnacentral:rRNA from 1 species